rnacentral:rRNA from 1 species
UACGUAGGGUGCGAGCGUUGUCCGGAAUUACUGGGCGUAAAGAGCUCGUAGGUGGUUUGUCGCGUUGUUCGUGAAAUUCCCUGGCUUAACUGGGGGCGUGCGGGCGAUACGGGCAGACUGGAGUACUGCAGGGGAGACUGGAAUUCCUGGUGUAGCGGUGGAAUGCGCAGAUAUCAGGAGGAACACCGGUGGCGAAGGCGGGUCUCUGGGCAGUAACUGACGCUGAGGAGCGAAAGCGUGGGGAGCGGACAGG